rnacentral:tRNA from 1 species
GUGAGAAUAGCUCAGUUGGUAGAGCAUCAGCUUCCCAAGCUGAGGGUCGCGGGUUCGAAUCCCGUUGCUCGCUCCA